rnacentral:rRNA from 1 species
UACGUAGGGGGCAAGCGUUGUCCGGAUUUAUUGGGCGUAAAGAGCGUGUAGGCGGCCAUGUAGGUCCAUUGUGAAAACUCGAGGCUCAACCUCGAGACGCCGAUGGAAACCAUGUGGCUAGAGUCCGGAAGAGGAGAGUGGAAUUCCUGGUGUAGCGGUGAAAUGCGCAGAUAUCAGGAAGAACACCGGUGGCGAAGGCGGUCUCAUGGGCCG